UACGGGGGGGGCAAGCGUUGUUCGGAAUUACUGGGCGUAAAGGGCUCGUAGGUGGCCAACUAAGUCAGACGUGAAAUCCCUCAGCUUAACUGGGGAACUGCGUCUGAUACUGGAUGGCUUGAGUUUGGGAGAGGGAUGCGGAAUUCCAGGUGUAGCGGUGAAAUGCGUAGAUAUCUGGAGGAACACCGGUGGCAAAGGCGGCAUCCUGGACCAACACUGACACUGAGGAGCGAAAGCCAGGGGAGCAAACGGG
rnacentral:rRNA from 1 species